UAAUGAUACAAUUAAAUGGGGUUUAAUAAAUGUUGACUAAGUGGCUACUAAAAAAGACUGAACAUACCCCAUUUGCAAUACCCUGGGUUGUCUACUAUUGCAAAUGGUAUGCCAUCAUGGGGGUAAUUUUCAUUCCUGGGCUACUGUACGGUCUCAAAGGCAACAUAACCAACCUGGUGAAUUUUAAUGUGAAAAAACUGAAACGCAAGCCUUAUAUUUAACUCUGUAACUUUUGAAAACACCAUUAAACCUGUACACGAGGGAACUGUUAUACUCGGGAGACUUCGCUGAACACAAAUAUUAGUGUUUCAAAACAGUAAAAUGUAUCACAACAAUUAUAUCGUCAGUGUAAGUGCCAUUUGUGGGUGAAAAAUUCAAAAAAUGUCACUGACGAUAUAGUCGUCGU